rnacentral:rRNA from 1 species
AUGAGGAGGCGGCCGGGGAUCGCCGGCUUGCAGAACGCGGCGGCGACUCGCGACAAAUUCCGUCAGGUCGGGGAGAAUGUGGCCAAGGUCAGGACGGAUGUCAUGCAGGAGCAGCUCGCGACCUUCAGGUCGCAGCUCGAAGAAUUCGCUCGCAAGCAUAAGAGUGACAUCCGUAAAAAUUCGGUAUUUAGACAACAGUUUCAUGAGAUGUGUGCAAAAGUUGGAGUAGAUCCAUUGGCAUCCAAUAAAGGAGUUUGGGCAGAGCUCCUAGGAAUCGGUGACUUCUACUAUGAAUUGGGUGUUCAGAUCGUUGACAUAUGCAUAGCAACAAGAUCGCAUAAUGGUGGUCUUAUUGACUUGCUAGAACUCCGCAAACUUCUCUGCCAGAAAAGAAAAACUGAUCUUGGUUCAUUAUCAUCAGAUGACUGUUUACGUGCUAUAAGUAAGCUGAAGGUCCUUGGUAGUGGUUUUGAAGUAAUUUCUGUUGGGAAGAAAAAGCUUGUGCGAUCGGUUCCUACUGAGUUAAAUAAAGAUCAUAAUGGGAUACUUGAACUAGCUCAGGCUAAGGGCUAUGUCACCGUAGAACAAGUUGAGAAGGAAUUCUCAUGGUCAACUGGCCGUGUAAUCGAUGCCCUUGAAACUUUGCUCAAGGAGGGACUUGCUAUGAUAGACGACGGGCACAGGGACGGCAAGCGUAGAUACUGGUUCCCGUGCGUCACCCUCAGUUCCGAUGCCUCCGGUUCCGAAGCAAAGUCAUAA